rnacentral:lncRNA from 1 species
AUUUAAGUCUCGCCUAAGGGAAUCUACUGGUACACAUCGGUUCAUUACGAAAUGGUCAUAGAGAAUAUUAUAACUCUUAUCUGGUUAUCAUUUAUAUUUGUUACUAUUACAAAAAACGAUUUUUUUUUGUGUACUUGUUCUCCUAUAGGAGUGGGCUCAGUGAAAAAUUAGAAAAGGGAGGUAAUUAGAUUUUUAUCAAAACAGAGACUGGAUAUCUUACCAGUAUCUUGCUCUGAAAAUAAUCUUACUCGUCCUUGACCUUUACUCCUAACAUAUUCCAACC